AGCUCCAAUAGCGUAUAUUAAAGUUGUUGCAGUUAAAAAGCUCGUAGUUGGAUUUCGGGGCGGCCCGACUGGUCCGCCGCGAGGUGAGCACUGGUCGGCCGCCCUUCCUCUCGGAAGCCCCGACUGCUCUUCGUUGCAGUGGUCGGGGAGUUCGGGACGUUUACUUUGAAAAAAUUAGAGUGUUCAAGGCAGGCCUUCGCCUGAAUACAUUAGCAUGGAAUAAUGGAAGAGGACUUCGGUCCCGUUUUGUUGGUUUCUUGGACCGAAGUAAUGAUUAAGAGGGACAGUUGGGGGCAUUCGUAUUUAAUUGUCAGAGGUGAAAUUCUCGGAUUUAUGAAAGACGAACGACUGCGAAAGCAUUUGCCAAGGAUGUUUUCAUUAAUCAAGAACGAAAGUACGC
rnacentral:rRNA from 1 species